UUAACGGAGAGUUUGAUCCUGGCUCAGGACGAACGCUGGCGGCGUGCUUAACACAUGCAAGUCGAACGAUGAGGGGCCCGGGCUUGCCCCGGGUCUGAUUAGUGGCGAACGGGUGAGUAACACGUGAGUAACCUGCCCCCCGACUUCGGGAUAACCGCGAGAAAUCGUGGCUAAUACCGGAUAUGACGCCCCUGCGCAUGGUGGGGGUGUGGAAAGACUGUGUCGGUCGGGGGAUGGGCUCGCGGCCUAUCAGCUUGUUGGUGGGGUGAUGGCCUACCAAGGCGCGACGGGUAGCCGGCCUGAGAGGGUGACCGGCCACACUGGGACUGAGACACGGCCCAGACUCCUACGGGAGGCAGCAGUGGGGGAAUAUUGCACAAUGGGGCGCAAGCCUGAUGGCAGCGACGCCGCGUGAGGGAUGAC
rnacentral:ncRNA from 1 species